rnacentral:rRNA from 1 species
GACGAACGCUGGCGGCGUGCCUAACACAUGCAAGUCGAACGAAGCACUGUGUGUUGAGACUUCGGUUGAUUCACACUUUGACUUAGUGGCGGACGGGUGAGUAAUGCGUGAGCAACCUGCCCUUGGAGUGGGGGGACAACAGUUGGAAACGACUGCUAAUACCGCAUGAUGUAUUUUAGGGGCAUCCCUUAAAUACCAAAGAUUUAUCGCUCUAAGAUGGGCUCACGUCUGAUUAGUUAGUUGGUGAGGUAACGGCUCACCAAGACUGCGAUCAGUAGCCGGACUGAGAGGUUGAACGGCCACAUUGGGACUGAGAUACGGGCCCAGACUCCUACGGGAGGCAGCAGUGGGGAAUAUUGGGGCAAUGGGCGCAAGCCUGACCCAGCAACGCCGCGUGAAGGAA